AUUGAACGCUGGCGGCAUGCUUUACACAUGCAAGUCGAACGAGUGGCGAACGGGUGAGUAAUAUAUCGGAACGUACCGAGGAAGGGGGGAAAACCAAUCGAAAGAUUGGCUAAUACCGCAUAUUAUUCGAGCGGCCGAUAAGUGAUUAGCUAGUUGGUGGGGUAACGGCCCACCAAGGCGACGAUCAGUAGCGGGUCUGAGAGGAGGAGCCGCCCCACGUGACCUGAGACACGGCCCAGACUCCUACGGGAGGCAGCAGUGGUGAAUUUUGGACAAUGGGGGCAACCCUGAUCCAGCCAUGCCGCGUGUUUGAAGAAGGUCUUCGGAUUGUAAAGCACUUUAAGUUGGGAGGCGUUACCAACAGAAUAAGCACCGGCUAACUUCGUGCCAGCCGCCGCGGUAAUAC
rnacentral:rRNA from 1 species